rnacentral:rRNA from 1 species
UAGGGAAUCUUCGGCAAUGGACGAAAGUCUGACCGAGCAACGCCGCGUGAGUGAAGAAGGUUUUCGGAUCGUAAAACUCUGUUGGUAGAGAAGAACAAGGGUGAGAGUAACUGUUCACCCCUUGACGGUAUCUAACCAGAAAGCCACGGCUAACUACGUACCAG